GAACCACGGGAAAAAUUGCCAUUGUAUUCGCUUGGAAAAUUUAUUUUGUGAAAUAGCUAUUAAAUUUCUUUUUUAUUUAAUUUUUAAUGAUUAGGAUCUAAAAAAUGAAAAAAGUGAGGUCCACAUAUUGGUUAAUGGAUUUUUUUUUAACAUUUUUAAAACUUUGAGAAGUAAUAAACUACAUCUAACACCCUUCACUUUUUUUAAUAUUAAACAAAACCUUUUCUCUCUCUCCUCCUUAGCUUCUCAAACUCCCACUACUCUCAAGAAAAUCCUGUCAAAUGUCAUCUUUUCUUCUCUUUCUUCUUCGGUGGCAAAGGGCUCCUUUUUGCGUUCUAAGGAUGGUGGUACAAUGAUGAGUAAACCGAGUAAUGAAUGGAGCAUGAUAAACCACUCAUCCUUAAUGUGAGGUAUGUUUUUGUGUUGCUUUUCUGGUGCACAAUUAAGAAUAUAGAAUUCUUGUUCCUUAUCUUUACACUCUUUCAUUAUUUCAGAUGACUCCACAAAUAUGUCAUCAUCUAAACAUAAUGUAUAAAAGUUCUUUUUUAAUAAGGCCCAACCAAUCCCACUUUAAAAUUUACACCAUCCAUAACACACUCACUCUUAUUCACCUUCUCAAUUUUAGUCUCAAGAUAAAAAUGACAGUGGAAUGGCUAAAAUUCUUAUAUUUUCUCCACGAAUUAGCUAGUAUCCUCCUGUGCUUUUCUCUGCCUCUAUGGAAAUGGUGGUAGUGGUAUCUCCUUAACCUGUUCAAAAACUUUAGUUUUAAGUGCUAGAACUUCCUUGAAUAAUCAGCAACUUUGUCUGUAAUCGGUUGAGGAGUCAACUCUGCAUCUGCCUCCUUAGUUGUAUUUGGAGGUUCUUCAUUAAUGUCUUUACCAUUUCUCAAAGUGUUUUUUAUUACUUGUUUAGGAGGUUUAAUGUCACUUAGAAAACCACCUUGAUACCUGGCAUUUUGUGCCUGUUGUAUCUUCUCCAACUAAUUCUCCAACUACUCCAGAAUUAUUUGACAAUUUUUAAGUUCAACAACCAACUAUUCUUGGGUGUCCAUGAUCUUCUUUAGCAUUUUCUCUAUGUUACUAUCCUAUGUGUUUUGAUGUUGCUGUUGAAACUGCUGCUAGUGAUUGUUCCAUGAUUGAAUUGGUGGCUGAGUCUGCCACUUUUGAUUGUAGGCUUUCCCAUAGUAUGAACUUUGAGCAUUGCCCACAAACAUCACUGACUCAGGAUUGGCAACACACAUAGCUGCAGAAUGACCACUAUGGCAACAAACCUCACCAAACUUAUGGUCUGUUCCACAGAUAAGAUAGUAUCCACUUCAUAUUGUGAAGGUCCCAUCCACGAGCUUUCAUCAAAAUCUGGACAAAAAUCCUCUUGAUGAGGUCCCCCACAAAAAUAUAAGAAUCUUCAUCACUCGAAAACCAUUUAUCCCAGGCUGCCAUAUCAGGAAGUGUGAUAAAAAAAGUAAAAGAAAAUAAAAGAAAAAAAAUAAUAAACUAUGUACAACUCAAUAUAGAUAAAUUAAAAAUAAGAUAGUUUUCUAUUUACAAGUCCCCGGCAAUGGCGUCAAAAACUUGUUGUGCCCAAGCACACACGCAAGUGUACAUGGUCUCACCAAGUAGUAAAAUGGCCCUUUAGAAGCCAAGUAUCAAUCCCACAGGGACUAGUGUUAAGCAACUAUCCAAUUUUAGUUUAACUAUUAAUAUUAAAGUGGUGUAAAAGUAACCGAAAGAGUUUUAGAGUUGUAAACUAAUGUAAAGUAAAUAAUACAAGAAAGUAAAAGUCUUGGACAAUGAAUGGGGAGAAACCCGGGAUUAAAGCACUGCAAACAAUCAUACUAAGACGUUACACUUCAUUGGUUAGAUUACUUAUCUUGGUUGUUGAUUCGUAGGGUUUACAGUAUGAUCAUAGUCUCCCGAUCUUUUAAUCUUCUACGUGACUGGAUAUUACAACCACAUCAUUGAGUUGGGAUGCAAAACUCCAUUUAGAUGCAUUAAGAUGUCAUCCUAUAAGUGAACCAAAUAAGGCUUAUAGGUACAUCUCUAUCCUAGAUGCUAAUUCAAAUCUCUUAUUUUAUAAAAAAAUAUGAACCUCACUUUACUUAUCCCCAUGUUCUAUUCUCUUAUUCCCCCUCCUAAUUUCACAAAGACGACAAUGAAUGUAUUCUUAGGGUUGUAAAUCCUUAAAUAGUUAUAACAAGGAUAAAUAAACAAUAAAAUAUUAUAAGAAAUCAAAACCAAAUCAAUUCAAAGCAAUAGUAAUCAUGUUCUUGGCUUUAACCCCGGAAAGGAGGCUUUUAGCUGCUCAUGGACAUAAUCAUAAUCACAAAGAUAGAAAGCAUGUUAAAAUCCACAAACAAACUAAACUAAAGAUAGAAAAAAACCUAAUUGAAGUAUUUCACAUCCCAUCUCCAAGAUUCAAAGCCGUCCAGAUGUAUAACAUCAAGUUCAAGUAUCCUAUUUAUAGGAGGACAAAACUGCCAAAAUUGACCUAGGAUCCGCGUCGCGGAGCUCAUAGCGGGGACUAGGGUGUGUGAUGCACCCUCAUAAUCAAGACACACUGUUUUUGGUACCUUAGGGAGAUACCAAUGUGUGGUACACACCCAAUAUCCAUGUCUUGGGUCAAAUACGUGCCAUGGACAUCCAAAGUGUCCGUUUUACAUCAAAUCUUGUUCGAUGCUUUCUUUGAUCCAUUCUAAGCCCGUUUGUGUUGUUUUCACAUGAUUUACAGCUUUUAUAUCAUUCAUAUAUAUUCAUAAUCAACUUACCAAGCAUCCUAUAGCAUUAAAAACCACAAAUUAGAGCUCAAAACAACACACAAUCCACAACGGUGAACUAGAAACUUAAGCUAGGAACUAGUUUCGUCCUAUUAAUCUUUCGCUUAGUGUUUUGACUCUUGGCUUGAUUCAAUUGAACUUUAAGCAUUAUAAAAAUAAUUUCCAUACAUAAUUACAGAAUCAAAUCAUUAGAAACUUAUUACACACACUGAUAUGAAUCAACCCACGAGAACUCGAAUCUAAUAUGCGAAAAAUAAAGAUAGAAGGAUAGAAUAAUCAAGAUAGAAAGAUAGACACGAAAUUAAUACUGAAAGGGCAAUCAAAGGAUGUAUCAAAUCCUAAGAACUCCCUUAAUGACUAUCAAUAGGCACCUAACUCUUACGGUGACCGCAAAGAGGAUUAGAUCGCCCUUACAACCAACGUUUCUUAGCAUGGUUCAACAAAUGCUUUUCUAAGCACUCAAACACUUCCACGGAGUCGGAUGAAUACAUCAUGUAAAAAUUAUCAUAAAAAAACUAUGGAAAUAAGCCUAUCUACCAAGCAUUUAUAGUUUGGCUACAUAUUACAUUAUUAGGGCCCAAAAGUGACCCUAAUAUAAGAAAAGACCCACUAGGAGUUGUUUUGACCCGUUCUUGAAAUGCUAGAGCGGGUCUAAAUCUGCUUGGGUGCAUGACCCUUCCAAAGGGAUUAAGAGCCCCAUUUUGCACUCCUUCAACCUCACCAAAGUCCUUUGACCCUCUUUAAUGGUAAUCUUCCUCCAUGUGGUAUCUUUUAAAAGCACUAAGGAGUCAUCAAGAACCUCGAGCAUCAUACAUAUCUCAUCCAAAGGUCCGAAGGCAAUUUGGCUUGUAUCACACACUAGAAUCCAUCGAGAUCAACUAGAACAACACCUAGCUCAAGAUAGUAACACUAGUUUUCUCAUUUGAACUCUAAAUGGCCAUAUUAAGUAUCAACUUGUUUGAAAGACUCCAUAAAUAUUGUAAUCAAGUACUUAAAUACUUAGAUGCUCAAUUAUAUCAUUAUUCACUCAUUAAGAACUCAAGUAAUUCUCAAAACAAGGCUAAAUAAGUCUAGAUAACAAUACUAAGGAGCAUAAAUCCACCUCAGAUCAGUAUAACCUUCGAACUUUGAUGGACGAGGUUGAAUCUUUUCUGCCAAAGAUAUUGGCUAGAUCAAGGAUGGCUGCAUAUCGAGAAUUUAAGUAAAUUCUUGUUGACCAAUAUUUAAAGAAAAGAUUUAAGCAGUCUUGUUUUGGACAUUUGAGAAGCCUGUCACAACAUCUUAAAUUCAAUGGACGGAUGAUCCAUUAUUUGUUGUUGCAGCAUGUUAAGAAUGAUAAGAUACUUCACGAGAUGUGAUUUUGUGUGAACAAUAAGCCUGCUUGUUUUGACUUAAAGGAGUUUUGUUUAAUCAUGAGGCUGAACUACUCAUCAUACCCCCACUGAAUCAAAAUUGAAGAAGGUGCUAGAGAAGGGAGAAUAUUUUUGCUUUAAGGUGACGAAAAAUAAAAAUAUUAUGUCGGCCAACUUGUUACAGUUUAUUAAAGGGAAUAAGUUGAACAAGGACUAAAAUUUUAUGUGUUGUUUAAUGUGUUUCUUUUACACCGUGUUGCUUGUAAAAGAUUCGACAAAGGUUGUCGACAUAAAACUGAUUUGGAUGGUGGAUUCUUUGAGUUUCUUCGAGAUUUAUCCAUGGGAAAAAAAGACAUUUCAAUCAUGGAUUAUAUAAAGAAGAAAACUAACCUAAAGAAGCAGAGGGAAAUAUUUCAAUUGAAAAUUUUGCUAGAAAAUCAAUAGAUGAGCCCUUUCCCAUUUCCUGCAUCCUCAUAUGGCACACUAUAAAAAGUGAUAAGAUAAUUGAAGGCGACCCAUUCAAGUAUAAAGAAAAAAUUAUUCAUCUAUGAACUUAUUUUUUAUUAUUCAAUAAUACUACUGUAAUAUUGAAUGUUAUGCAAUUUUUUAAUUAUUUUUUGUAGAACAUACACCCAUACGUCAUUCCUACUGUACAUGAGAUGAAGAUGGAUUACAUGGUUAUGUUUAAGCCAUAUAAAUAUGAGUUAAAGAAUAAAUUCCUAGAUGGAUUGAAGAAAGAUUUAGAAGGGGUAACUUCACUUACUUCAAACGGGGGCAUUAAUAAUGAUGGAGAUUUUGGUGGUAACCCUAUGGGAGUACGCAUUGGUGAUGAUGCUUCUCCGAGUACAUCAAAAGUUAUAGUGGGCACCUUUGCCAACGAAAAUUUGAAUAAUUGUGUUGCUGUUCUUGAGGAAAUUGUGUUAAAUAUUUCCACCUAUAUCAAAUAAAGACUGAAAAAGAAGAAAGGAAUGAGCAACAACAUGAGCAAGUGCAUGCGGACCUUCAUGAAGCAGAGAGUAAUGAGAAGGAAGGAAAAAAGUAAAAUGGAUGAAUUGGCCACUAUUGUGGUAGAAGAGGAAAAAGAAGGAUGAAGAAAAAGAAUCAGGAGAGAAAGAAGAAGAAAAUGAUAAGAAUGAAGAAGAAACUGAAAAAGAAGUAACAUCAGGUGAAGAAGAGAAAGGUGAGGAAAAAGAAGAAGCUGAGAAAUAAAAAGUAGUAGAAGUUGAGAAAGGAGAAUAAGAAGGUGAGAAAGAAAAAGGUGGAAAAAAUGUUGAAGAAUUAAUUAAAACAGCUAAAGAAGGAAAGGAAGAAGCAGCAGAAAAGAAAAGAACCUUGCAAAAAAAUGAAGAAUAGAAAGAAGAAAAAGAAGAAACGGACAAAGAAGAGACAAAACAAGAGAAGGAAGAGGAGAAAGAAGAAGAGAAGAAGGGGGAGAAGAAUAAAAUUCUCAUGAUGUGGUCAUGAAUAUCGUUAAGUACAUCAACGAUAACAUUUGUGAUGAUGAGAAAAAAGACAUUUGACUAUCAAUGUUUAUGUAUUUUUUUAUUUGAUAAAUAAAGGAGUUAAAUGAUCGUCAGAUAAUAUGACAGAUAAUUUUUUAUUUUAUGAAAAUUGUUAGGAUUCUGCACUGAAUCUGUUUUUAUCAAACUAUAUUGUUGAAGAGAAUUUGAAUAUGCAUUGUGUUGUCAUAGAUGAUACAAUGUAUGGUUAACAUAGAAUUCAUAUUUAAUAUUUUGUAUACUGCUAGCAUAGUCUAUUAUUACCAUGCUAGUCUAUUUUAAGUUGAUGUGUAGUCUGAUCAACUAUGAUUCUAUGAAUAGCAGUAUUAACAUUCUAGAAAACUAGAAGAAUUUUUAUUUAUUCAAUGUCACUACAUCCAUGUUACAUCUUUUCAAAUAACGAAUACUAAAAUUAUACCACAUAACAACAUUUUAUGCCAUUCUUCCUUUCUUCGGCCAAAUACAACUUUUGUUUUAGUUGA